ACUGCAUGUAUACGUCGCCCUUCCGUGGGUUUUGUGGUAAAACUAUGUACACAUGCUAUAACGCCAUAUAGUCCUACCUCCGUCUUGAAUAGGCUGGACAAUAUCGAAGUUUUCUAGCAUAGUGAACCAAUAAUAUAGCCUACAUGCCGCUAUCCAUCAUGGAAGAAGGACGAUUAGCCAACAGUAUUGAACUGGAAUAAAGGAGUCGUCACAUUUAGUCACGAAUCGUGAUCACGAUAUUUCCUCAAGCUCAUGGUGCGCGAGUAACAUAUAUCAACCGCGUUCGUGACCUAGUUCUAUGAUGAGGCAUUUUAUCAUUGUGCAGGCUGCUCACGCUCCCCAACGCCUAACCAAAAGCUGAAGGGAGCCGGUUUCUAUCACUUUGACUUUGGCGCUCUUGUAUCUUAUUUUCUUUUCUUUUCUUCUCCACUUCUUUGCAUAAUCAACACCCAGUAUUUUUAAAUUGCAACGCGUGAAAUCAUUCAAGGAUUCACGAACAGCUACCUACGGUCUACUCAUCCAAAUUAUUCUUCUAGCGAGAAAAAGUUUCUCGUGAAAAGCACGCACCGGAACUUUUUUUGUGCCACUAAAAAAAAGAGACAGAGAGAGAUCAAUAAAUAACCAUCAACGAUCAAGCGAUUAACUAAAAAGAAGUCGAUGGUGUUAUAUAAGAAACACACAUUAUCGACAGGCUUGGCUGGCGAAAUUCUACAUUUUCUUUUUUUUUUUUCAAUUAUAUUGUAUUGAUCGUUAUAAUUUCAUUUUUAUUUUCACCGAGUCUGACUGGGAUAUUUCUUUGAUAUCGUGUACAUACCCGUAUAUAAUUAAAGGCUAAGUAACGCUCGUUAAACCUAAAAUACACGAUGGGAUGAUGAUCUUGUAAACUUUUUUCAGUGGUUAUUUCCGCCGAAAGAAAAUUGCGGAGAAGUAGUGCAUAAAAUUGUAGGCUCCAAGGGUGUUUUUCCUUCAUUUUCAGCUUUUCCCUUUGCAAUAAGUAAUAAGUCUUGAGAAAGAAAAAGAAAAGGAAAA